UAAAGAUUUAAUCGGUGAUGGAUGGGGAUGCGUCUGAUUAGCUUGUUGGCGGGGUAACGGCCCACCAAGGCGACGAUCAGUAGGGGUUCUGAGAGGAAGGUCCCCCACAUUGGAACUGAGACACGGUCCAAACUCCUACGGGAGGCAGCAGUGAGGAAUAUUGGUCAAUGGGCGAGAGCCUGAACCAGCCAAGUAGCGUGCAGGAUGAUGGCCCUAUGGGUUGUAAACUGCUUUUAUAAGGGAAUAAAGUGAGUCUCGUGAGACUUUUUGCAUGUACCUUAUGAAUAAGGACCGGCUAAUUCCGUGCCAGCAGCCGCGGUAAUACGGAAGGUCCGGGCGUUAUCCGGAUUUAUUGGGUUUAAAGGGAGCGUAGGCCGGAGAUUAAGCGUGUUGUGAAAUGUAGACGCUCAACGUCUGCACUGCAGCGCGAACUGGUUUCCUUGAGUACGCACAAAGUGGGCGGAAUUCGUGGUGUAGCGGUGAAAUGCUUAGAUAUCACGAAGAACUCCGAUUGCGAAGGCAGCUCACUGGAGCGCAACUGACGCUGAAGCUCGAAAGUGCGGGUAUCGAACAGGAUUAGAUACCCUGGUAGUCCGCACGGUAAACGAUGGAUGCCCGCUGUUGGUCUGAAUAGGUCAGCGGCCAAGCGAAAGCAUUAAGCAUCCCACCUGGGGAGUAC
rnacentral:rRNA from 1 species